UACCAAUAAACCCCUGAAGUCUCAAAGCAAGACCAAGUGGAAAAGAGAGGAUGGACUGAUCAAAGUGACCAAAAUAGCAGCUCAAAUGUGAUAUGGUAUUGCUGUACAGGCAAAGUCCAGUGCUUUCUGCAGGAGGAAGGGAGCAGUUCCUUAAUGUACCAGUGUCAGAAUAAUCUCUCAGUUGCCUUCAUUUUCACCCAUGAAGUGGAGGAGAAAUUAAAAAAGAAGUGCAAGUUCAUAUAA
rnacentral:lncRNA from 1 species